rnacentral:lncRNA from 10 species
GGCUACUAGAAAAUUUAGCUGGGUGAGGUGGUUCACACCUGUAAUCCCAGCACUUUGGGAGGCCAAGACAUUUCCCUACAUACCUAGAAUUUUGUUUACGAUGAACAGAAUGUUGGGUAAGAGUCUCUUGAGCUGAAACAGUUACACCCCCGCAGCUGGGAAAAGCUAUUCCCUCUGCAUUAGGCCAACGGGAAGCCCACACCUCCUGAUACAACCCAUACCACGGUUGCCUUCCCCUCCUGGAUGUCACAGAGAAGGAUUUAAAAAUGACUCCCGGCCAGCAUGGUGUCUCAUGCUCAGCACAUUGGGAGGCCUAGACGGGAAGAUUGCUUGAGGGCAGCAGUUCAAGGCAAGCCUGGGCAACAUAGGGAGACCCUGUCCCUAUUAUUUUUUUUUUUGAUGUUAAAAAAAAUUUAAUUUAAUUAAAUAAAAAUGGUUCCCAAGUCAAAGAGAAUAAAGAACCACAGAAGUUA